UACGGAGGGGGCUAGCGUUGUUCGGAAUUACUGGGCGUAAAGCGCGCGUAGGCGGACCUGCAAGUCGGGGGUGAAAGCCCGAGGCUCAACCUCGGAACUGCCUUCGAUACUGCGGGUCUCGAGUCCGGGAGAGGUGAGUGGAAUUCCUAGUGUAGAGGUGAAAUGCGCAGAUAUCAGGAGGAACACCUAUUGCGAAGGCAGCUCGCUGGGACGUAACCGACGCUGAGACGCGAAAGCGUGGGGAGCAAACAGG
rnacentral:rRNA from 1 species